GAAGUAUAUAUUCACCUAAAAAGGCCAUCAGUCGUGCCGGUAUAGCAGAAUGCUGGGGAAAGGCCGAAGACAGACUUAAAUAUUUUUUCUUUUUUCUUUUUCUUUUCCCCAUUUUUUUUUUUUUUUUUUUUUUUUUUUUUUUUUUUUUUUUCAUAAAAGACUGACUUAACUUUAUCAUUGUUUUGUACUCAUCCUUGAAUUAUUUAAUUCAACACUGAAACCAUGGUGAAUAACUGUUGCCAGAGAGAUUCUGAUGCGAACGAGCAAGGAAUGGCGGUGAUGGGUUUGUUUGUUUUGUCUUGGGUUCUUUUUGGCGGAAGUUAUGUUGUGACAGGACAAGGACGAAGGUGAUAGCUUGGUUGGAAAUCAGAAGACCCAAGAUGAGCAAGAAAUUUGGUAUGCAAUUAAGAGGGAGAAACAGAGGAGAGAGUAUAAUGUAGAGAGGGGCAUUUUGGAUCAUGAAAAAAUAUAAAAAGUGUUUUUAUAUAUUUUAACAAUUUACUGAUAAACAGAGGACGGCACCGAAUCCCAUUGACUUCUUAUAUAUACACUAUUUAUAGCAGUAUUGCUGGGAAGUGAAGUCACUCAAGAAAUGAAGAAUAAAUUUCUUUCAAUUAAGCUUUUCCUACAAGGACUCCUAAUGUCCCUCCCGCCAAACCCGCAAUCUUCACCACAUUCUUCUACUUCAGGCCUCGAAAUAAGUGUUACAGAUGACGACCAGCACCACCAACAAUCCGAACCAGCAGACGACGUUCCUAAGCCCUCGGGUGUCGUUCCUGACCAUGAUGCUGAGUGGGCAGCGAAAGUAAUCGGAUUUUGCCUUUCAAUAUGGGCUAUCGCAAUUGCACUUCAAUCACUCCAAACUGAUCGUGCUUCACUCCUAUAAGCUUUCACUUCCUCUCUCACGCCAUCGUUAUUGCAGUCACUCUCCUCUCUCACAAAGUACAUCUAUCCCAAGUCCCCAAAGUUGGCCCAAGGCCUAGAGGAUAUGGGUGUCCUCUUUGCGGUCACAGCCUUCUUCAUUGCCAUCACCACGCCUUUUCCACUUUGGCUUCAGCUCAUUUACUGGACCAUCUAUGCUCUUGCUCUUGCUCUGCUCGCCAUUUUCCUCUACAACCGCCAUUAACCAUGUUUUGAGGAAAUCGAGGUAACCAGAGAAGCAAAAACUAGACCUUUGAUUUGGGAUUCCUAUACAGGUACCUGGCACAGUAAGAUGCACAUGAAGGCUUCUCUUUUAGCUAGACGAAUUGCAUUGAAGCAAAUGACUUGGUGUCCACAUAUCAUGGUGGAUGGUCCUUGGAAAUGCCAUCUAUAUUCAGCUGUACAGCCUAACCUGUAAUGCGUACCUGGAAUGAGCUUCAUGGCAUUGCUUGUGAGAGUUGAUGCCUCGUGCUUGCCUACAAGGUCAGCGUGAGGAUUUUGAAUUUUGGAUUUGUGGCUAGAAUAAUGGCUUACCAUGGAGUAAGAUGUCCCCGAUAUCUGUAUAUAUCUACUGAUAUAUCCUUAUUUCCAUGGCAUCAGUAAGUCCAUUUUACAAAUAUUAUUUAUACUCCUUUGACUAUUUAGAAUUUUUUACAUGUUUCAUCAUCCACAAGAUUUCCAAUGUGUAGUGAUAUAUCCUUACUCGCUUCUUUAUUUAUUCACAUUUAAAAUUUUAAUACCUUGGGGAUCUAUGGAGGUGGUUUUUGUGUCCUUUGAUUAGAUCAAGGGCUACAUUUAUAUUUGUAGCUGAGAGGGACGUUGCUGAUGCUGUACAUGAAAAUUGAGAAGGUAAUACUUUAGGUCAUACUUUCAUUUGUUUUGUGUUCUUGCUGGGAUUGCUUACAUUUAUGUUGAACUAUUAUAUUUGAUGUUGAAUGUAUGUAACUUGGGGCUACCAUGACGACGAGUAUCCGAGUCUGCAGGAAUAACUAAGCCCUUUUUCUUUCAACCUUCGUGGCGAGGAAAGAAAAAGGGCAUGGCUUGAUGAUGUUGCUGACCGGUAUGAUAUAACGAAGUCAGGACGGUCCACACUUCUCGUAUGCUAUUUGCACUGCGCGCCACGGAUGCUGGGUGCAAUUUUGGACAGGGUAUUGCAUGACACGCCUGCUGGAAAAAUUUUCUGGGUUUUCUUAGUUAAUGACUUGAGUGUAAUACAAGGGGAAAGGAAAGACGGAACUGUUAAUAUUAUGUGGAAAGUCUUGUGAUGUGUUUAUUAACUUGAAUGCUUUGAAAUAUUUGUAUGGUUGAAUACAUCGUUUUGCUAGUAAUUAAG